UAAAAUGGGAGGUAAAUUUCUCCUAAGGCUAAAUAACGGCGAGAGACCGAUAGCGAACAAGUACCGUGAGGGAAAGAUGAAAAGAACUUUGAAAAGAGAGUUAAACAGUACGUGAAAUUGUUGAAAGGGAAACGAUUGAAGCCAGUCGUACCUUCGGGUAAUCAGCCUUUCGGGUGCGAUUCUGUGGGGUGUGAGGAGCUUAACACCUUCAUGCUUUGCAUAUUUGUGCUCUUGGGUGUACUUGCCCGUGUGGUUGGUUAACAUCAAUUUUGGUUAUCAUAAAAUGACUGGAGGAAUGUAGCUUCGAUCUCGUAUUGAAGUGUUUAUAGCCUUCGGUAGAUGUGAUGAACGAGAUUGAGGAUUGCAACGGAUACCCUUCGGGGCUACCUGUCUGGUCUCUGAUCGUUGCUCUGGUGCUGAAAGCUUGCUUACAGUUAUCAAAGUUGAUGGUCAAUAGGUUAGAACGGGUUAAA
rnacentral:rRNA from 1 species